rnacentral:lncRNA from 10 species
UUCAAUUUUAUUAUUAAAUAAAUAUGAAUUAAUACUAGACAAAGGAGGAAAUAUCUUUUUUAAACUCUAAGAAGAAACAAAAUGAUAAACAUCUGAGAUAUCUAGUCUAAAAAAAGGUUGGUACAACUUCAGAGACACUUUAUCUGGGUUCCUUGCUUUUUCUCUCUGCUUCUUACUCCCCAUAAACCUACUUCUCCCCACAGGAGGUGCCUUCUAGACAUCUUGACAUCGUGGUGAAGAUGGAAAGAGUGUUUUACUAGACAUGCCAAGAAAGGCUCUCCCAGUUCAAGUUUGCUUGUUUGGUUGUUUUUUUGUUUUGUUUUUUGUUCGUUUGAGAGACAGACCUUUUUACCAAGGUGGCUAACACAAAGAAUUAACUUGUCCAGCUGAGAACUCACCCCUGAGUCACAGAGGUUUAUGUUACUCUGGUUAACUCAAACAUAGAACCACAACUAAGCAAACCGCAACAACUGCGGCAUUCAUAAAACAAGAAUCAUGCUUAGGCAGUCAUUUAAGUGGGCUCAUCACAGGACAGUAAAUAAUGACAAAAGAAAGCAGGGUGUGGAAGGGAAUUGUGAUGUUAAUAACUCGUACAAUGCUUAAAUGCAUGCCCGGCACUGUUCUAAAUUAAAUCCUUCAAUGAUCACUACAACUUUGUUAGGUAAUGACACAUAUCCCUCAUUUUAUGAAUGGGGAAACUAAGGCACAGCAAAGCUAGAUAACUUGUUUGAGAUCACACAAUCGGUGGCAAUGCUGGAAUUUGAACCCAGAGAAUCUGGUGUAACAGUUCACACUCAAGCCACCACUUUGAGAGGAAUCAAGGGAAAAAGAAGAGAGAUCUAAGAGAAUAAAAAGGGGAGGAAGGAGGAGGAAAAACUCAGCUCACUAACACCUGAAGGCAAUUGCUACAUGGUACCCAGCCUCCUUUUUCAGGCCCACACCCAGGUCUUUGCAGUCCCCACCUCUACCUCUGUUAUCAAGCUUCCUAAAAUGACAUGAUUUG